UGAAAAUUUUAUCACUAAGCAACUAGAAAAUAUAAAAGAUGCUGGUGUGGCCGAAUAUUAAAGCUCUGCUAUUGACGUGUGCACUACCUUUUCUGCUCUUCACCUCGUGUUAUGGUCAUUGGCGCAACCGUUGUCAUAUUUGUAGUCGCAUGAAUCAGAAACAACAUAGAAAGUUUGAUCCAUUAGCAUUUGGAAUUCUUAAACAUCGA